AGAGUUUGAUCCUGGCUCAGAACGAACGCUGGCGGCAGGCCUAACACAUGCAAGUCGAACGCUCCGCAAGGGGAGUGGCAGACGGGUGAGUAACACGUGGGAAUCUUCCUAUCGGUACGGAAUAGCUCAGGGAAACUUGAGGUAAUACCGCAUACGCCCUUCGGGGGAAAGAUUUAUCGCCGAUAGAUGAGCCCGCGUCUGAUUAGCUAGUUGGUGAGGUAAUGGCUCACCAAGGCGACGAUCAGUAGCUGGUCUGAGAGGAUGACCAGCCACAUUGGGACUGAGACACGGCCCAAACUCCUACGGGAGGCAGCAGUGGGGAAUAUUGGACAAUGGGCGCAAGCCUGAUCCAGCCAUGCCGCGUGAGUGACGAAGGUCUUCGGAUUGUAAAGCUCUUUUGCCAGGGACGAUAAUGACGGUACCUGGAGAAUAAGCCCCGGCUAACUUCGUGCCAGCCGCCGCGGUAAUUC
rnacentral:rRNA from 1 species